rnacentral:lncRNA from 1 species
GUUGGGGUUAGGUACUGUGGUGUUGGGGUUAGGUACUGUGGUGUUGGAGUUAGGUACUGUGGUGUUGGGGUUAGGUACUGUGGUGUUGGGUUAGGUACUGUGGUGUUGGGGUUAGGUACUGUACUGUUGUGUUGGGGUUAGGUACUGUACUGUGGUGUUGGGGUUAGGUACUGUGGUGUUGUGGUUAGGUACUGUGGUGUUGGGGUUAGGUACUGUGGUGUUGGAGUUAGGUUCUGUGGUGUUGGGGUUAGGUACUGUACUGUGGUGUUGGAGUUAGGUACUGUACUGUGGUGUUGGGGUUAGGUACUGUGGUGUUGGGGUUAGGUACUGUGGUGUUGGAGUUAGGUACUGUGGUGUUGGGGUUAGGUACUGUGGUGUUGGGUUAGGUACUGUGGUGUUGGGGUUAGGUACUGUACUGUGGUGUUGGAGUUAGGUACUGUGGUGUUGGGGUUAGGUACUGUACUGUGGUGUUGGGGUUAGGUACUGUGGUGUUUGGGGUUAGGUACUGUGGUGUUGGGGUUAGGUACUGUGGUGUUGGGGUUAGGUACUGUGGUGUUGGAGUUAGGUUCUGUGGUGUUGGGGUUAGGUACUGUACUGUGGUGUUGGGGUUAGGUACUGUACUGUGGUGUUGGGUUUAGGUACUGUGGUGUUGGGGUUAGGUACUGUGGUGUUGGGGUUAGGUACUGUGGUGU